GGAUCAUUCGCACGCAUCCGGUAAAAUCACUGUGAACCUGUUGGCGUGGGGGUCUGGGCAGAGGCGGGGAUGGAUGGUAUCCAUCAACGUCUCUGUGCAGAAACCUGAGGGCAUCAUGUCACGAUGGGUGCUCUCACACCUCCUUCGUGGCGUGGUGUCAAUACAACCCACCAUAGGACAAUUCUGCCCGGCAUAUGCCAGAAGUCUUUGCGUGCUUCCCUCACAACUUUCAGCGACGGAUGUCUCGGCUCGAACAAUGAUGAAGGGCGCAGCGAACUGUGAGAAGCAUUGUGAAUUGCAGAAUUCCGUGAAUCAAUAGGGACCUGAACGUACACUGCGCUUUCGGGAUAUCCCUGGAAGCAUGCCUGCUUCAGUGUCUACACUAUCAUUCCAAUGAUGCAGCCUCUGCUUCCGCAGCAGAGCCGCGUUGGUGUGCUUGUGUGUUAAGGUGCUCUUGUGCCCCUGACACAUGCAGCGCAUAGGGGGCCCCCUGCGCACCGCAAAAUUGCCAAACAACUCCAGUGCAUGUUUUGCUGUACUGGUGGGUGGGGGGUCGUCUCCCUAGACUGUCUCGGCCCGCUCCCAAGACAUGAAGUUAGGCCAGCAAACCUGCUGAAUUUAAGCAUAUAAGUAAGCGGAGGGAAGAGCAUACUG
rnacentral:rRNA from 1 species